GUAUAUAUAAUCACAGUGACUGUGUUUCUACUUCAAGCCUGCGACUGGCAUCUGGAUUUUCAUAGCCAGUUUGUAGUGUACUAUCGAAAGGACUGCAUUCCCUUCUUCGAGCCCAUGACUGGCAUCAGGAUUAUCAUAGUCAGCCUGUAGUGUACAAUCGAGGUGAGUGCCUGCCUUCCUCACUUGCGGCCCAUGACUGGCAUCAGGAAUUUAAUUGUCAGCCUGUAGUGUUAUCGAAAGGACUGCAUUUCCUUCUUCGAGCCCAUGACUGGC